ACAGUCGCGGCGAGGCAAGGCCCGGCACCAGUUCAUGAAGGCUGGAGUGGAAGCCUCCACAGGGACGUCAUGGACGCACCGGGCUUUGAAAAAUGACGAUUUGACUUACGUUAAUAAGUGUUUCACAAAAGCGGGGAGGCGUGUGUCAGGCAGCCUUAGAGCAGUCACGCAGGAGGCUUUGUGGGGCCCGUGGAGAGCCAGGCUCCUUCAGGCAUGGGGAGGCGUGCACCCUUCCUGCAGGAGGGCAGCGGCACACAAGUGGGAGGAGUUUCCUGCGGUCAGGUUAUCCUGCCAAACCUCUCCAGGGGGCAGGAGGGCGUCAGUUCACCCCGAGGCACGCCCGCUGAGGCUGACGCGAGAGAGGAGACCAAGUGACAGCGGGCGGCAGAAACUGCCGGUGCUGCCGCUGCGGGGAGGACAGUGACGCAGGCACCGCCACGUGGGUGAGGGAGGCCUGACUGACUACCUGCGCCUGAGCCUGCAGGGCGCACAGCAAGCCCACACGGAGAUGUAUGCGGCCCUGCACGGCGGAGAGCGGUGCACACAGCACUGUCUGGCCUCACUGCCUGCUUCAAACAAAAUGGUUGGUAAGUAAGGCAGCAGUGCACGGGCGCCCUUCAAACACCCCCCCUCCUGCACGCACCAAGCCACAGACAUCCCUCCCUUCCACUAAUGUGCCCCAAUUACUCUCAUAUUAUUCAAUGGCAACAUAAAGUAAGUAUGAACUUGUAAAACUUUGCCGCACGCCUUGACUGUUGUCACUCACAAAGUUCACUCACCACCACAACAACCGCCCCGCUCAGUGCCACUGCCGCCGAUACUAUUGUACCAGCAGCAGUAGUAGUAGUAGUAGUAGUAGUAGUACUAGUAGUAGUAGUUAAAUAGUAGGAGCAACAGCAGCAGUAGCAAUAGUAGCAGUAGCGGUGGUAGUAUUAGUAUUAGUAGUAGUAGCAGUAGUAGUAGUAAUAGCAAUAGAAGUAGUAUUAGUAGCAGCAGCAGCAGCAAUAGUAGUAGUGUUGAUAGAAGCAGCAGCAGGGUUAGGUUCAAUCAUGACUACAGCUACAUUGCAAUAUGCCAACACACACACACACACACAUACACACACACACACACACAGUAUAUUAUAUUGUAUUAUAUUAAUAUUACAUUAUAUUAUAUUAAGAAGCACAGUUCCGUCCCAGCACAGCAGGAGCGUGGGACAAGCUGCAAAGAGAGUCAACAAGGAUGCAGCAUACACGAGAUUGUAAGGAAAACUGAAGAAAAUUAGCCAUGAAAACACUAUACAAGCUUAGACUGCUCCCGUAAACCACAACUAGGAUAUAGGUAAACAAAAACUAGGUACACACACACACACACACACACACACACAUACACACACACAGCUGCUAACUCUGUCAGGGGGGUUCCACUCAUACCGCUCUGCCAGACAGGGUGGAAUCAAAAGCUUUUCGUCUCAUCAAUUCCUCUCCUCUAACUGACUGUCUUCAGCCUCUCUCUCUCUCUCUCUCUCUCUCUCUCUCUCUCUCUCUCUCUCUCCUCUCAGUGACUGUCUUCAGCCUCUCUCUCACCGCCACAAUGUUGCAUCUCUAGCUGUCUUCUACCGCUAUUUUCAUGCUAACUGCUCUUCUGAUCUUGCUAACUGCAUGCCUCCCCUCCUCCCGUGGCCUCGCUGCACAACACUUUCUUCUUUCUCUCACCACUAUUCUGUCCACCUCUCUAAUGCAAGAGUUAACCAGUAUUCUCAGUCAUUCAUCCCUUUCUCUGGCAAACUGUGCACUCCCUGCCUGCUUCUGUAUCUCCACCUUCCUGUGACGUGAACUCCUGCAAGAGGGAGGCUUCCACACACUUACCCUUCAAUUUCUGACUACAACUUUUGACUGUGUUCAUUGGCCUUUUUUUUUUUUUUUUUUUUUUUUUUUUUUUUGUUGCCCUUGUCCGGUGUCCCUCAUACAUACAUACAUACAUAAAUAAAUAAAUAAAAACACACACACUGACCACUGCCGGAGAAAGGGUGCAGAGGAGUGUCCCUGGCGUGGGUCUGGUGGCGUCACUGACACACUGACUCUGCAAUGCCUCGGUGUUCUGCCCUGCCAACCUCUCUGACUCAUGCCGGGGAUGUUAAACCUAAUCUAGCCUGACUAAUGAUAAAGAUAGUUUGAAAAGAACCCAUUGGAAGGUUAGCGGAAUGUAAACACGGUGAAAAAAACAUUGUAAGGUCAAUUAAUGUGAUUUAUUAAGAAUGGGAAACUCUUUAAAAAAAUCUGAACUCUUUAAAAAAUCUGAAGUAUUCUUACACACAAUGAAAAGUUACAGAUUUAAACAGACAAAUAGAAAAAUGAAAUAAAUAAAUAAAUAAACAGACACUCAAAAGUUACAGAAUGAAACAGACAAAUAGAAAAAAUAAAUAAAUAAAUAGACACUCAAAAGUUACAGAAUGAAACAGACAAAUAGAAAAAAAAAUAAAUACGUAAAUAAAUAAACAGACACACAAAAGUUACAGAUUUAAACAGACAAAUAGAAAAAAAUAGAAUAUAUAAAUAAACACUUAAAAGUUACAGAAUGAAACAGACAAAUAGAAAAUAAAAUAAAUAAAUAAAUAAAUAAACAGACGCUCAGAAGUUACAAAAUAAAACAAAUAGAAAAAAAUAAAUAAAUAAAUAAAGCAAUGAAUAAGUCAAUAUGGUGCACCUUGGAUGAAUGUACAUGCUGGAACCUUUAGAACCACGACUAACAUGACCACCUAACACAACGAACCUAACCUAACCUAACCUAACCUAACCUAACCUAACCUAACCUAACCUAACCUAACCUAACCUAACCUAACCUAACCUAACCUAACCUAACCUAACCUAACCUAACCUAACCUAACCUAACCUAACCUAACCUAACCUAACCUAACCUAACCUAACCUAACCUAACCAUAACCUAACCUAACCUAACCUAACCUAACCUAACCUAACCUAACCUAACCUAACCUAACCUAACCUAACACAACCUAACCUAACCUAACCUAACCUAACCUAACCUAACCUAACCUAACCUAACCUAACCUAACCUAACCUAACCUAACCUAACCUAACCUAACCUAACCUAACCUAACCUAACCUAACCUAA